rnacentral:rRNA from 1 species
CGCUGGCGGCAUGCCUAAGACAUGCAAGUCGAACGAAGUGGCCCAACAUAAUGGAGUGCUUGCACAAAAUUUGCGAUGGAAUUUCCACUUAGUGGCAGACGGUGAGUAACACGUAAGUAAUCUACCUUAGAGACUGGGAUAAUGUUUGGAAACGAGCACUAAUACCGGAUAAUUCAUAUUUAGAUAACUAGAAAUGCUAAAAGAAGCGUUUGCUUCACUUUAAGAUGAGCUUGCGGCGUAUUAACUAGUUGGUGGGGUAAUGGCCUACCAAGGUGACGAUGCGUAGCCGAACUGAGAGGUUGAUCGGCCACAUUGGGACUGAGACACGGCCCAAACUCCUACGGGAGGCAGCAGUGGGGAAUAUUGCACAAUGGGCGAAAGCCUGAUGCAGCGACGCCGCGUGAGCGAAGAAGUAUUUCGGUAUGUAAAGCUCUAUCAGCAGGGAAGAUAAUGACGGUACCUGACUAAGAAGCACCGGCUAAAUACGUG